UACGUAGGUGGCAAGCGUUAUCCGGAUUCACUGGGUUUAAAGGGUGCGUAGGAGGGCAGGUAAGUCAGUGGUGAAAUCCCCCGAGCUUAACUUGGGAACUGCCGUUGAUACUAUCUGUCUUGAAUAUCGUGGAGGUGAGCGGAAUAUGUCAUGUAGCGGUGAAAUGCUUAGAUAUGACAUAGAACACCAAUUGCGAAGGCAGCUCACUACACGAAUAUUGACUCUGAGGCACGAAAGCGUGGGGAUCAAACAGG
rnacentral:rRNA from 1 species